GAUGAAGAACGUAGCGAAAUGCGAUAAGUAAUGUGAAUUGCAGAAUUCAGUGAAUCAUCGAAUCUUUGAACGCACAUUGCGCCCGCUAGUAUUCUGGCGGGCAUGCCUGUCCGAGCGUCAUUUCAACCCUCAAGCCCCCGGGCUUGGUGUUGGGGAUCGGCGAGCCUCCGCGCCCGCCGUCCCCUAAAUCUAGAGGCGGUCUCGCUGUAGCUUCCUCUGCGUAGUAGCACACCUCGCACUGGGAAACAGCGCGGCCACGCCGUUAAACCCCCAACUUCUGAACGUUUGACCUCGGAUCAGGUAGGAAUACCCGCUGAACUUAAGCAUAUCAAUAAGCGGAGGA
rnacentral:misc_RNA from 1 species